AGAGUUUGAUCAUGGCUCAGAUUGAACGCUGGCGGCAGGCCUAACACAUGCAAGUCGAGCGGUAGAGAGAAGCUUGCUUCUCUUGAGAGCGGCGGACGGGUGAGUAAUGCCUAGGAAUCUGCCUGGUAGUGGGGGAUAACGCUCGGAAACGGACGCUAAUACCGCAUACGUCCUACGGGAGAAAGCAGGGGACCUUCGGGCCUUGCGCUAUCAGAUGAGCCUAGGUCGGAUUAGCUAGUUGGUGAGGUAAUGGCUCACCAAGGCGACGAUCCGUAACUGGUCUGAGAGGAUGAUCAGUCACACUGGAACUGAGACACGGUCCAGACUCCUACGGGAGGCAGCAGUGGGGAAUAUUGGACAAUGGGCGAAAGCCUGAUCCAGCCAUGCCGCGUGUGUGAAGAAGGUCUUCGGAUUGUAAAGCACUUUAAGUUGGGAGGAAGGGCAGUUACCUAAUACGUGAUUGUUUUGACGUUACCGACAGAAUAAGCACCGGCUAACUCUGUGCCAGCAGCCGCGGUAAUACAGAGGGUGCAAGCGUUAAUCGGAAUUACUGGGCGUAAAGCGCGCGUAGGUGGUUCGUUAAGUUGGAUGUGAAAUCCCCGGGCUCAACCUGGGAACUGCAUUCAAAACUGUCGAGCUAGAGUAUGGUAGAGGGUGGUGGAAUUUCCUGUAGCGGUGAAAUGCGUAGAUAUAGGAAGGAACACCAGUGGCGAAGGCGACCACCUGGACUGAUACUGACACUGAGGUGCGAAAGCGUGGGGAGCAAACAGGAUUAGAUACCCUAGUAGUCC
rnacentral:rRNA from 1 species